CAGCCGCCGCGGUAAUACAGAGGGUGCAAGCGUUAAUCGGAAUUACUGGGCGUAAAGCGCGCGUAGGUGGUUUGUUAAGUUGGAUGUGAAAUCCCCGGGCUCAACCUGGGAACUGCAUCCAAAACUGGCAAGCUAGAGUAUGGUAGAGGGUGGUGGAAUUUCCUGUGUAGCGGUGAAAUGCGUAGAUAUAGGAAGGAACACCAGUGGCGAAGGCGACCACCUGGACUGAUACUGACACUGAGGUGCGAAAGCGUGGGGAGCAAACAGGAUUAGAUACCCGCGUAGUCCCUGUCUCUUAUAA
rnacentral:rRNA from 1 species